CCUCAAUAAAAACCUUAUAAAAAUAGAUAAAGUCAAUGAAGAGUCAGUGGAAGAGGAUCCAAGGCUCAGAAAGAGAAGGAGGUAUAUGAGAAGCUGAGGGAAGCAAGGGAGAGCAUUUCAAUAACAGGGAGACAUGGUGGACCAAUGUAGAGAGACUCUUGGAUUGGGUAACUGAGAGAUUCUGUACUGACAGAAAAACUUCAACAAGAUAGCUUCAACUUGAAGAAAGAGCAAGGUUAAGGGAGAUUCUGGAGGCUGAUUUUCUUGUUCUUGUUGUUUAAGUCUUGGAGGUGCCUGAAGAUGUCUACAACUGGAAGAAAAGAAGCCACUGGAGCGGAAGGUGGGGAGAAUAAAGUUUGGAGCAAGAUUCUCAAGGAAGCAACAAGAUCCUAAGGCCACUGCUUUGCUGAGUCAUUCUACUAUGCGGCCCCUCAGACACAAAGCCCGGCGGCCACCUGCCCACAGAGUCACAGAAGGCCAGCCAACUGCAAGCUCGGAACUUCAGGAUCUUGCUUUUUGGGUUAUUUUCACUACUGUAACUUUUUUGUCCUUAGAAAUGGAGAAAGAGACCACCUACUGCAUUUCUGUCCCUUGCUGAAAAAGACACUCUGUCAGAGAAUCUUCUAGCAAACUUCAAA
rnacentral:lncRNA from 1 species